UCCCAUGUGGCUCAGUUGGUAGAGCAUGGUGUUUGCAACGCCAGGGUUGUGGGUUCGAUUCACACAGGGGAC
rnacentral:tRNA from 1 species